rfam:Schistosoma curassoni strain Dakar, Senegal genome assembly, scaffold: SCTD_scaffold0013507
AGCAAUGAUGAGUCGCAAAUAGGACGAAACGCGCGUCCUGGAU